UACAGAGGGGGCGAGCGUUGUCCGGAAUUAUUGGGCGUAAAGAGCUCGUAGGCGGCUUGGCAAGUCGGAUGUGAAAACUCCAGGCUCAACCUGGAGCCGCCAUUCGAUACUGCUAUGGCUAGAGUCCGGUAGGGGAGUGUGGAAUUCCCGGUGUAGCGGUGAAAUGCGCAGAUAUCGGGAGGAACACCGAUGGCGAAGGCAGCACUCUGGGCCGGCACUGACGCUGAGGAGCGAAAGCGUGGGGAGCGAACAGG
rnacentral:rRNA from 1 species